ACUCCAUAAUUCUCAAGCCAUCUGUCCUUUUUUAAAAAGCCCAGAAUGAGUCUAGAUCGAAUCCAGACUCCUGUUAGGACUUAAAAAAUCUUUUUUGGCCGUUCAAUCACUCCCGUACGCGUCUGUAGCUACUUGAUCAUGCAAGAUCAUGUGUCCGCAUGUGUCGCGACCAUCUGAUCGCAUGCUCACAUGAUGGAUCAUGACAAAAAUCGUAUGAAAUGCCUCUUGG
rnacentral:lncRNA from 1 species